rnacentral:rRNA from 1 species
AGCAGCCGCGGUAAUUCCAGCUCCAAUAGCGUAUAUUAAAGUUGUUGCAGUUAAAAAGCUCGUAGUUGAACUUCAGGCCUGGCUGGACGGUCCGCCUUCCGGGUGAGUACUGUCUGUGGUCGGGUCCUACCUUCUGGCGAAGCGUCAUGGCCUUAACCGGCCGUGGCGGGGAACCAGGACUUUUACUGUGAAAAAAUUAGAGUGUUCAAAGCAGGCAAUUCGCUUGGAUACAUUAGCAUGGAAUAAUGGAAUAGGACAAUUGUUCUAUUUGUUGGUUUCUAGGACUGUUGUAAUGAUUAAUAGGGAUAGUUGGGGGCAUUAGUAUUCAAUUGUCAGAGGUGAAAUUCUUGGAUUUAUUGAAGACUAACUACUGCGAAAGCAUUUGCCAAGGAUGUUUUCAUUAAUCAAGAACGAAAGUUAGGGGAUCGAAGACGAUCAGAUACCGUCGUAGUCUUAACCAUAAACUAUGCCGACUAGGAAUCGGGCGAUGUUGACAAAAUGACGCGCUCGGCACCUC